CUCACUUAAUUUCCUUGCUGUUGGUGCCCCUGCCAUUUUGAAUUAUUUUGUGGUAUCGGUUGUAAUGAAGCUUUGUCAUCUCGUCAAUUACAUAUAAUCAGUAUAUUUUUUCUAACAUGCACACCAAUUUUAUAUACCAAUCGAUUAUCGGAAACACGAUUUCCACACCUAUCCAAGUAAUCAACGAAUAAAGAAAACUAUGAAGUACCCUAGAAAUAACAUUAACGUAACCACUCUGUGCGUACAACUUUCCGAGUAACGUAUAAACUGAUAAAACUACGCAGUAUGCUAGAAAUGAUAUUUGAAACGCAGCCGUCCUGCACGCACACAUGGCGUUGUAAGUAUACCAACUGUGGCGACCUCGUUGCGACUGUUACGCUUCCUAUGGCAAGACAUAUAACUAACACGUCUCGGCGCCACCAAAAACACACGUGGGAAAUCAACCAAAGUGAAAGACAACAAAGACGCCAGGAACAAAAAAGAAAUCAUUCAUUUUUUCUUUGAUUCUUUUUUAAACCGCAGCCAUACUUACUGGAAGUGGUUAGUUAGAUUAAACUAUUGUGUACUUGACAAAGUUAAACAAGUAUAUUACAAUUAUUGUUUAUUAUUGUGCAAAGUUUCUUUCUACAUAGUGAGUUGUCCACAAAAAAUUGAUACAACAAUGGAGGAAAGACUGCUAACAUUAAAUAAAUACAUAUGUUGGACGCAUUUCGAAAAAGUCAAAUUUAGCUCGAUAUUAUUUCUGAUAGAAUGAAUAUCAUGUAAAACAUUAUAUAUAUUUGUUACAUCGAAAGUAAUACUGAUUGCCGGUAUCUUAUCAUUAAUUUAUAUAACCUAAAUGUGUUUCUUAUUACUAAAA